UAGGGAAUCUUCCACAAUGGACGCAAGUCUGAUGGAGCAACGCCGCGUGAGUGAAGAAGGGUUUCGGCUCGUAAAGCUCUGUUGUUAAAGAAGAACGUGGGUAAGAGUAACUGUUUACCCAGUGACGGUAUUUAACCAGAAAGCCACGGCUAACUACGUGCCGA
rnacentral:rRNA from 1 species